UAAUACGAAGGGUGCAAGCGUUGUUCGGAUUUAUUGGGCGUAAAGGGCGCGUAGGCGGAUCGAUAAGUCAGAUGUGAAAUCUCGGGGCUCAACCUCGAAACUGCGUCUGAAACUGUCAAUCUAGAAUCUUGGAGAGGGAAGUGGAAUUUCGCAUGUAGGAGUAAAAUCCGUAGAGAUGCGAAGGAACACCAGAGGCGAAGGCGACUUCCUGGACAAGUAUUGACGCUGAGGCGCGAAAGCGUGGGGAGCAAACAGGAUUAGAUACCCUGGUAGUCCACGCCGUAAACGAUGAGCACUAGAUAUUGGUGGUAUUGACCCCAUCAGUGUCGCAGCUAACGCAUUAAGUGCUCCGCCUGGGGAGUACGGUCGCAAGACUA
rnacentral:rRNA from 1 species